UACGUAGGGUGCAAGCGUUGUUCGGAAUUACUGGGCGUAAAGCGCGCGUAGGCGGGCUUGAAAGUUGAUUGUGAAAGCCCUGGGCUUAACCCGGGAAUGGCAGUCAAAAUUACAAGUCUUGAGUGCCUGAGAGGAUGGCGGAAGUUCCCGGUGAUCGAGUAGUGAAAUAACGUAGAUAUCGGGAAGAACACCUGAGGCGAAGGCGGCUAUCUGGCGGUGCACUGACGCUGAGGCGCGAAAGCGUGGGGAGCAAACAGG
rnacentral:rRNA from 1 species